UUUAAGCAUAUCACUCAGUGGAGGAAGCUCAAGCAACAGCGAUUGCUGAAGUAACGGCGAGUGAACGAGCACCUUCUUGGCUCAACCCGAAGGAGAUUCCCCUCCUGCCCCUGCCUGAUUGGCAGGGUGCAGUCGGCUACUGUGGGUUUCACCAGAUGCUGUGGGCUUUGGAGCGGACAGUGGCGCAUGCAGGCUGGUUGUGGUGCCAGGAAGUGCCCUGGAAUGGCUCACAUCAGAGGGAUACUGUCCCAUACUCUGCCUUGUGUGCCACGACCGCCUGUGGUGCUGCUGCCUGUGUCCUCGAGUAGAGCGGCUUGGGACUGCAGUUUGAACUGUGGGGUGUAUCCACCACAAGGAGCAAUACCAACAUGGGACCGAUAGAGCACAAGUAGAGUGAUUGAAGGAUGCAAAGGACUUUGCAAAGAGGGUUAAAAGUCCCUGAAGCCUUGGCAGUGACGGCGGUGUGUGGUGCUGUGGUUCUCCUGUGUGCUGGCACAGCACGGUUCUCCCUUGCGCUGUGGCUGUGCAGCACAGCAAGUGGCAUUCUGCCUGAGAGAUAUUCCCAAGCGACCUUGGGCCAGCCCAGUGCUGGCCACUGAGCCUGUCCCUCAAGGGAUGGACGCAAUCGUGGCAGUCACUUGGUGGCAAAUUGCCUGCCUGGGCCUGAGGUGUUCACAGUGAGAGGUUGUGUCUCUCCCGCACAGGGCUUCCGCCAAGUGUUGCCCCUCUCGGGGUGCUGUGUGGGCAGAGAGAUGGAGAUGCAACGAGAGAGUGUGCUCUGGACCUGGUGCGCCUUCGGGCUGUGCCAGUCGCUGCUGCCCAGUCAUGGUUCACGGGGCUGGCAGGUGUGUGGUGGCUGCACCACUCGUUGGUGGCCACUGUGCGCCAGCACAGCCCCCCAGAUGGUGCACAGUGCAGAGAGGCAAGCACAGCUUGGUGCAGCAGUGCCACCCUCUGCCCGUCUUGAAACACGGACCAAGGAGUCUAUGGAGCUUGCAGGUUUGCUGGUGUGAUCAUGGAAAACCGCAGUGCAUGGUGAAGGCAACACGGACCAAGAAUGUGUGGGCUUCCAGCCAGGCACGAGCGCCGGCUCUGGACCAAAAGCCUGCAAACCACACCCAGAUGGUGCACAAAAUGCGAGUGCUGCAUGGGUCACCGGCUCCGCCGUCCAUUGGACAGGGUUUUGAGUGCUUGCAAGGUCCAUGGGACCCGAAAGGUGGUGAACUAUACCGUUCCAUGACGAAGCCAUGGGAAACCGUGGUGGAGGUCAGUCGCUGUUCUGACGUGCAAAUUGUGUAGCCUGAGUGCGGCAUAGGGGUGAAAGGCCAAUCGAGCCACCUAGUAGCUGGUUUCCCUCGAAGUUUCCCUCAGGAUAGCUGGGUUCAAGUGCAGGGCCCAACUACUGAGUGGUUACGUCCGGUAAAGCAACGCAUGAGAGGCUUUCCGCGGGGAGGCAUCCCUCCUCGACCUAUUCUCGAACUGUGAAUGGGCGUGGCAGACCCAAAAAGGCAUGCUUCUCCAUCGGGCCGGAGGCUGUGUCAAAGCAGUUCUCCACUGGCUUUCUGAGCGUGUUUGUGGUGGCUGCUUCUCUCUGGGCCGCAGCCAGAAACCCUCCUGCCCCUGGCGCCUCCCUGCGAUGGCUCAAACAGGAUGGGGAACCUGGCUGUGACCCCCUCUGGUGAAGACUGGAGAGCUCCCUUUGAGAGAGUGUGAAGCUGUGCUGUUGUGGCGAACAAGUGUGCCUAUGUGGGCCAAAAUUGGUAAGCAGUGCUGGCGAUGCGGGGUGCUCCGAGAGUGGACUUACAGAACCCGAGUGCUGGCUCAUACACAGAUCCCACAAAGGAUGUCGCCUGCUCUGGAUAGCAGGUCGGUGGCCAUGAAGGUUGGAACCCGCCAAGGAAUGUGUAACAACUCACCUGCCGAAGUGUGCGGCUCCGAAAAUGGAUGGUGCCCAAGUCAGUGAAGCUGAAUUUGCCUUACAGUCCGCCGCCACUGUGGCAGCAGAGCAGAGCAUUGUUGUGUAGAAAGGACAUGGGAGCUUGCAGUGCCUGCUGGGGUUACCCCCAGCUGGAGUGUCUUCUGGCGCAGAUCUUGGUUGUAGUAGCGAGUACUCCAUCGGGUGAAGAGCAGAACAACACCCUGCUGUGUGUGGUUGAGGACUGGAGUGGAGCAGGUUUCCGCACCAAACAGCCGUUGAAUGCGGGUCAGCCGACCGUGAGCCAAGUGGUAAAUUCACCGAGCAACCAAAGCUGCCUUUCGCCCUGGGGUUGCGACACAGCAUGGGGACUCCCCACGGUGCACCCGGCAGGCCCAUACCCCCACACCGUGGAGAAUGUGGCUCGAGACCGUGCACACGGCCCAAAAGGCCUCUGUGGGGCAAGUGAGCACGCUGUGGCCCAGGGCUAACACUGUGUGUGCCUGGCAGGAUUGGCAAACAGGCAAGCAUGUGCAACAUUCUGCUGCGAUGGGCUUGGGAUGCUCAUUUGAAGGGUGGUGACGCCUCGCAAAAUGGGGGCAAGCAGGCUGCGGGGCAGUGCACCCCCUGGGGAGUUCUCGUUUCCUCCUGAUGCAGGCUCAUGUGGGCUGUCGAUUGGCAUGACAAAUGGUGGUGCAAGCCCUCCGCUCAGCAAGGCAGUGUCAUCUUGGCGCUGGCGGUGUGGUCUCGGUACAACGAAAUGGCUGGAUCUUGUGUCCUACAAGCAGUUGCAGAUUGUGACCUACGGUGGUCCCUGGCUCCACUGAACCGCCUGCGGGACUCUGUGUUCCUGGUCCCUUGUCUUCGUACUGAAUCACCGCAGCCGGUCUCCUCGGCUAGACGCCGCUGGUCGACGGAUUGAAUGCAGCUAAGGGAAGUCGGCAAACUGGCCGUGUACCUUUGGAAGAUGCGGUGGCUCCAGAGGCCAAGUCACUGGGCCCUGCCAUGGGUGGUGUGUUCAGCAAGGGGGAACAACCCCCUGUGUGAUGGCCUUGGUUGUUGCGCUGUGGGGACCUGGGAACCCUCGCACGCACCAUUGUGAACUGUGCAAAGCCUUGCCUCAGAGAGCGCUGUGGCGGGGGGCUGGGAGGCACUCGUUGCAUUCCAUGCCCAUCCCUGUGUCUACUAUGUGGCCCACAUGGAACUGUUGCUGUGCAGGGGAAUCUGACUGUUUAAUUGAAACACAGCUUUGUGACGGGACCAGCUGGCUGGUGCCAUGAGGUGACUUCUGCCCAGUGCUCUGAUUGUCACUGCGAAGAGAUUCAGCCAAGCGCGGGUAAACGGCGGGAGUAACUAUGACUCUCUUAAGGUAGCCAAAUGCCUCGUCAACCAAUUAUUGACGCGCAUGAAUGGAUCAACGAGAUUCCUGCUGUCCCUAGGUGCUGUCCGGUGAACCCACAGCCAAGGGAACGGGCUUGGGGGUGUCAGCGGGGAAA
rnacentral:rRNA from 1 species